rnacentral:rRNA from 1 species
UCGAGAGGCUUCUACAAUGGGGGAAACCCUGAUAGAGCGACGCCGCGUGGGUGAUGAAGGUCUUCGGAUCGUAAAGCCCUUUCAGCAAGGACGAAUGUACUGGUGAUAAUACCACCAAAUGCAAGACGGUACUUGCAGAAGAAGCUCCGGCUAACUCCGUGCCAGCAGCCGCGGUAAGACGGAGGGAGCAAGCGUUGUUCGGAUUUACUGGGCGUAAAGGGCGUCUAGGCGGACUGGUAAGUCAGAUGUGAAAUCCCCCGGCUCAACCGGGGACCUGCAUUUGAUACUGCUAGUCUUGAGUACGGAAGAGGAAAGCGGAAUUCCUGGUGUAGCGGUGAAAUGCGUAGAUAUCAGGAAGAACACCGGUGGCGAAGGCGGCUUUCUGGUCCGAUACUGACGCUAAAGCGCGAAAGUGUGGGGAGCAAACA